AGAACGAACGCUGGCGGCAGGCCUAACACAUGCAAGUCGAACGCGACUUCGGUCGAGUGGCGCACGGGUGAGUAACGCGUGGGAACCUGUCCUAUGGUACGGAAUAACAUCGGGAAACUGGUGCUAAUACCGUAUAAGCCCCGAGGGGGAAAGAUUUAUCGCCAUAGGAGGGGCCCGCGUAGGAUUAGCUAGUUGGUGAGGUAACGGCUCACCAAGGCGACGAUCCUUAGCUGGUCUGAGAGGAUGAUCAGCCACACUGGGACUGAGACACGGCCCAGACUCCUACGGGAGGCAGCAGUGGGGAAUAUUGGACAAUGGGGGAAACCCUGAUCCAGCCAUGCCGCGUGAGUGAUGAAGGCCUUCGGGUUGUAAAGCUCUUUCGCACGCGACGAUGAUGACGGUAGCGUGAGAAGAGCCCGGCUAACUUCGCGCCAGCAGCCGC
rnacentral:rRNA from 1 species